rnacentral:tRNA from 1 species
CCCUGGGUGGCGCGAACGGUGAACGCACUCAGCUGCUAACUGAAGGCUGGAGGUUCGAGUCCACCCACAGGUG